GAUCAUGGCUCAGGAUGAACGCUAGCUACAGGCUUAACACAUGCAAGUCGAGGGGCAGCGCAGUGUAGCAAUACAUCGGGCGGCGACCGGCGCACGGGUGCGUAACGCGUAUCCAACCUUCCCGGUUACUCAGGGAUAGCCUUCCGAAAGGGGAGAUUAAUACCUGAUGGUGUUUGAAUUCCGCAUGUUAUUCAAACUAAAGAUUUAUCGGUAACGGAUGGGGAUGCGUGACAUUAGGUAGACGGCGGGGUAACGGCCCACCGUGGCGACGAUGUCUAGGGGUUCUGAGAGGAAGGUCCCCCACACUGGAACUGAGACACGGUCCAGACUCCUACGGGAGGCAGCAGUGAGGAAUAUUGGUCAAUGGUCUGACGACUGAACCAGCCAUGCCGCGUGAAGGUCACGGCCCUAUGGGUCUUAAACUUCUUUUGCGAGGGAGCAAUAAGGUCUACGUGUAGGCCGAUGAGAGUACCUCGCGAAUAAGCAUCGGCUAACUCCGUG
rnacentral:rRNA from 1 species